UACGUAGGGCGCAAGCGUUGUCCGGAAUUAUUGGGCGUAAAGAGCUCGUAGGCGGCUUGUCGCGUCUGUUGUGAAAGCCCGGGGCUUAACCCCGGGUCUGCAGUGGAUACGGGCAGGCUAGAGGCAGGUAGGGGAGAACGGAAUUCCCGGUGUGAGCGGUGAAAUGCGCAGAUAUCGGGAGGAACACCGGUGGCGAAGGCGGUUCUCUGGGCCUGUACUGACGCUGAGGAGCGAAGGCGUGGGGAGCGAACGGG
rnacentral:rRNA from 1 species